GACGAACGCUGGCGGCGUGCUUAACACAUGCAAGUCGAGCGAUGAAGCUCCUUCGGGAGUGGAUUAGCGGCGGACGGGUGAGUAACACGUGGGUAACCUGCCUCAUAGAGGGGAAUAGCCUUCCGAAAGGAAGAUUAAUACCGCAUAAGAUUGUAGUUCCGCAUGGGACAGCAAUUAAAGGAGCAAUCCGCUAUGAGAUGGACCCGCGUCGCAUUAGCUAGUUGGUGAGGUAACGGCUCACCAAGGCGACGAUGCGUAGCCGACCUGAGAGGGUGAUCGGCCACAUUGGGACUGAGACACGGCCCAGGCUCCUACGGGAGGCAGCAGUGGGGAAUAUUGCACAAUGGGGGAAACCCUGAUGCAGCAACGCCGCGUGAGUGAUGACGGUCUUCGGACUGUAAAACUCUGUCUUUGGGGACGAUAAUGACGGUACCCAAGGAGGAAGCCACGGCUAACUACGUGCCAGCAGCCGCGGUAAGAC
rnacentral:rRNA from 1 species